GCGGAUCUGGUUGAUGGUCUGGGUGCGGGCCUUGACCGCGCUCUUGCGGACGACCCGCAGGGCGCGGAUCGCCUCCACGGUUCCGUU
rnacentral:tRNA from 1 species